rnacentral:tRNA from 1 species
ACCUGGCUGGCUCAGUUGGAAGAGUGUGAGACUCUUGAUCUGAUGGUCGUGGGUUCUAGUCCCACAACAGGUG